rnacentral:rRNA from 1 species
CGUGAACCAUCGAGUCUUUGAACGCAAGUUGCGCCCGAAGCCAUUAGGCCGAGGGCACGUCUGCCUGGGCGUCACGC